AAUAAGCGGAGGAAAAGAAACUAACAAGGAUUCCCCUAGUAACGGCGAGUGAAGCGGGAAGAGCUCAAAUUUGUAAUCUGGCACUUUCAGUGUCCGAGUUGUAAUCUCGAGAAGUGUUUUCCGCGCCGGACCGCAUACAAGUCUGUUGGAAUACAGCGUCAUAGUGGUGAGAACCCCGUAACUGAUGCGGAUGCCCGGUGCUUUGUGAUACACUUUCGAAGAGUCGAGUUGUUUGGGAAUGCAGCUCAAAUUGGGUGGUAAAUUCCAUCUAAAGCUAAAUAUUGGCGAGAGACCGAUAGCGAACAAGUACCGUGAGGGAAAGAUGAAAAGCACUUUGGAAAGAGAGUUAACAGUACGUGAAAUUGUUGGAAGGGAAACGAUUGAAGUCAGACUUGUUAUCUGGAGUUCAGCCUUUCGGUGUACUCUCCAGUUUACAGGCCAGCAUCAGUUUUCGGGGCGGGAAAAUCGUAAUUAGAAGGUAGCAGCCUAGCUGUGUUAUAGCUUUUUACUGGAUUCCGCUUUGGGGACUGAGGAACGCAGUGUGCUUUUAGCAAUACCCUCGGGUAUUUCA
rnacentral:rRNA from 1 species